UACGUAGGUGGCGAGCGUUGUCCGGAUUUACUGGGCGUAAAGAGCGCGCAGGCGGUCGUGCAAGUCGCGUGUGAAAGCCCCCGGCUCAACUGGGGAGGGUCACGCGAUACUGCUCGACUCGAAGGCAGGAGAGGGAAGUGGAAUUCCCGGUGUAGUGGUGAAAUGCGUAGAUAUCGGGAGGAACACCAGUGGCGAAGGCGACUUCCUGGCCUGUUCUUGACGCUGAGGCGCGAAAGCUAGGGUAGCAAACGGGAUUAGAAACCCCUGUAGUCC
rnacentral:rRNA from 1 species